rnacentral:rRNA from 1 species
GGUUAACGCUGGCGGCGUGCCUUACACAUGCAAGUCGAACGGGGCUAUCAGCGAUGGUAGCUUAGUGGCGAACGGGUGAGGAAGACGCAGGGACCUACCGACCAGAGGGGGAUACCCGCUGGAAACGGCGGAUAAAACCGCAUACGCCCGGGUGAAAGCCCGGGGAAAAGCACUACGGUGUUACUGGACGAGGGACCUGCGGCCCAUCAGGUAGUUGGGGAGGUAACGGCUCACCAAGCCGACGACGGGUAUCUGGCGUGAGAGCGCGAACAGGCACAAGGACACUGAGAGACGGGUCCUACUCCUACGGGAGGCAGCAGUGGGGAAUAUUGGACAAUGGGCGAAAGCCUGAACCAGCCACGUCGCGUGAAGGAUGACGGCCUUAUGGGUUGUAAACUUCUUUUACAGGGGAAUAAAGUGAGUCACGUGUGAUUUUUGCAUGUACCCUGUGAAUAAGCAUCGGCUAACUCCGUG